rnacentral:tRNA from 1 species
GUCUCUGUAGUAUAUAAAUUACCCUGGUCUUGUAAACCAGAAAAGAAGUAUCACUAACCCUUCCUGAGAC